rnacentral:rRNA from 1 species
GAUGAACGCUGGCGGCGUGCUUAACACAUGCAAGUCGAACGAAGCAUUUAAGACAGAUUCCUUCGGUUUGAAGUCUUUUAUGACUGAGUGGCGGACGGGUGAGUAACGCGUGGGUAACCUGCCUCAUACAGGGGGAAGCCGCCGGAAACGGGCGGUUAUAACGCCUUAACGCCCAGUUACACAUUGUAACGUGUGAAAAACCUCCGUGGUAUGAGAUGGACCCGCGUCUGAUUAGCUUGUUGGCGGGGUAACGGCCCACCAAGGCGACGAUCAGUAGCCGACCUGAGAGGGUGACCGGCCACAUUGGGACUGAGACACGGCCCAGACUCCUACGGGAGGCAGCAGUGGGGAAUAUUGCACAAUGGAGGAAACUCUGAUGCAGCGACGCCGCGUGAGUGAAGAAGUAGUUCGCUAUGUAAAGCUCUAUCAGCAGGGAAGAUAGUGACGGUACCUGACUAAGAAGCUCCGGCUAAAUACGUG